GUCCUUUUAGAGAUAUUCGAUAAAAUUAGAACAAUAUAGAGAAGAUUAGUAUAGCCCCUGUGUAAGGAUGACACGCACAAGUAGAAAAAUGAUCCAAAUCCCG